rnacentral:rRNA from 1 species
AUUGAACGCUGGCGGCAUGCUUUACACAUGCAAGUCGAACGGUAACAGGGAGCUUGCUCCGCUGACGAGUGGCGAACGGGUGAGUAAUGCGUCGGAACGUGCCGAGUAGUGGGGGAUAACGCAGCGAAAGUUGUGCUAAUACCGCAUACGUACUGAGGUAGAAAGUGGGGGACCUUCGGGCCUCACGCUAUUCGAGCGGCCGACGUCUGAUUAGCUAGUAGGUGAGGUAAAGGCUCACCUAGGCGACGAUCAGUAGCGGGUCUGAGAGGAUGUUCCGCCACACUGGGACUGAGACACGGCCGAGACUCCUACGGGAGGCAGCAGUGGGGAAUUUUGGACAAUGGGCGAAAGCCUGAUCCAGCCAUGCCGCGUGUCUGAAGAAGGCCUUCGGGUUGUAAAGGACUUUUGUCGGGGAGGAAAUCCCCAGCGCUAAUACCGCUGGGGGAUGACAGUACCUGAAGAAUAAGCACCGGCUAACUACGUGCCAGCAGCCGCCGUAAGAC